AUUAAUUCUCCUAAUGUGAGCCUGAACCUGAAUAUAAACCUCACUGGCCUCUCCCACCACAUUUCCCUUCUCUAAUCUCCCUUCUGCAGCUCCUUCAUGCCCAUUUCAGAACAAACACAAUCUGCAUUCAGAACAGGACCAUUUACAAGUUGAAUGGAGUUAUUUUGGGUGAGUCAUUGAAAACACAGUACAAAACCUUUCCUCACUCACCAGAAAUGCAUUUUUAAAAUAAAGCCAAAGUGAACAAGGCUUGGCAAGUUUGAAGGUGGACAAAAUGGGGAGAGAGCAGGUCUUCUGUCAGCCUCAGACAGGAUUUGAUACAAUUCAUUGCUCUUGAUGUAAUCCCCAAGGACCAGAAACUCUUUUAAGCAAGAUUCAAGUCACAAUUUACUGUUUGAAUUCAGAACCAACUCAUGCCCUGACUUCAAGGAUAGAAAUCAGUGGUGGAUGCUGUAAGGCAGACCUGAAGGACCCCAACCAACAGCCAGUGGGUGGAUGCUAAAGGCACCUCUUCUGUACACUCAGAAAAAUGAGAAAUUAUACCCCAUCUGAUUCAAAUGUAUGAUAUGUCAAGAUCAUUGUACUGUCAUGUGUAACUAAUUAAAACAGAUAAAAAAAUAUAU